rnacentral:rRNA from 1 species
GAUGAACGCUGGCGGCGUGCCUAAUACAUGCAAGUCGAGCGAACAGACGAGGAGCUUGCUCCUCUGACGUUAGCGGCGGACGGGUGAGUAACACGUGGAUAACCUACCUAUAAGACUGGGAUAACUUCGGGAAACCGGAGCUAAUACCGGAUAAUAUAUUGAACCGCAUGGUUCAAUAGUGAAAGACGGUUUUGCUGUCACUUAUAGAUGGAUCCGCGCCGCAUUAGCUAGUUGGUAAGGUAACGGCUUACCAAGGCAACGAUGCGUAGCCGACCUGAGAGGGUGAUCGGCCACACUGGAACUGAGACACGGUCCAGACUCCUACGGGAGGCAGCAGUAGGGAAUAUUCCGCAAUGGGCGAAAGCCUGACGGAGCAACGCCGCGUGAGUGAUGAAGGUCUUCGGAUCGUAAAGCUCUGUUAUUAGGAAAGAACAAAUGUGUAAGUAACUAUGCACGUCUUGACGGUACCUAAUCAGAAAGCAACGGCUAACUACGUG